AUCCAACUCUUGUUCCCUGUUGCUAUUAAAAUUAUGAUAAUCAUUACAACAAUCAUACGCGCAUUUCACGCUUUUUAGCUUUAUCAUAUAAUAUAUUAUAGUAGUACGUAUCCAUCAUAUAACAAUUAACAUACAGAUUAUAGCAAGUGAAGGUUACAUGGAGGGGAAGCACUAUCUCGUCUCAUCUCUUUCCUGCAACCAUGGAUGCUCCAACAUCACUUGAAGAGUUAAUUAUAUGCCUCUUGGCAGCUUUUGCUCUCAAGUAUUUCUCCCUUCAUCAUUCGUGAAGGUGAAGAAGAAGCAGCAACGGCGCCCACUGGCCACGCCUGUAGUGGCACACAAAGCAACGCACCCGCACCCUUUGAUCAUUGAUCAUGACAACAGUCGUGCCUCGUACGUCCCACAAGUCCUCCAACUUCAUAACAUAAGACAGCUUGGUGCGGGUCCAUGAGCAUCAGCAUCGCAAAUGGCUUUUAGUUGGAAAGCGUGUGGUGUGGUCCCUUUGCUUUUCUCUAUCCUUUUCUGGUCCUCCCUUUCCCACCAUAUGCUUUUCUUCCCAUGAUGCCUCCACUAUGGACAGUAAUAUGGAUGAUUCUACAAGGACAUCAACUCCUACCGGGAAAAUUAUAUUAAUCUAUAAGGACCCAUUUUUCAAAGUCUUUGUAAAUUGGCUUUGUGUUUUUGUCCAAAAGAAAAUAUUUUUGAAUUGAUUAUUGUAUUAUCCAUAUUUAAAAAUAAAUGCAUUUUUUGAAAGGA